UGACCUCGGAUCAGGUAGGAAUACCCGCUGAACUUAAGCAUAUCAUUAAGCGGAGGA
rnacentral:rRNA from 1 species